rnacentral:sRNA from 1 species
UGCCCUGGGAGCUGUCAUUGCCCUCCUGCUCUGGGGACAGCUUUUUGCAGUGGACUCAGGCAAUGAUGUCAUGGAUAUUUCAGAUGACGGCUGCCCAAAGCCCCCCCAGAUUGCACAUGGCUAUGUGGAGCACUCGGUUCGCUACCAGUGUAAGAACUACUACAGACUGCGCACAGAAGGAGAUGGAGUGUACACCUUAAACAGUGAGAAGCAGUGGAUAAAUAAGGCUGUUGGAGACAAACUUCCUGAAUGUGAAGCAGGUGGGUGCUCAGCACUUAAGAGAGCAGGCAGGCGUCCAGCGGGGAAUGUCCUAGAGGCACAGCCUUCCAGUGCGGCUUCCUCUGAGCACACAAAAGCCAAGAUGAGGAAUGCGGCAGAACCACAGCUGGCCAGGGAGAGACUUAAGCAGUUAGGUGGUAACUCCCUAAGGGUCACCAAGUGUCUAAGGGUCUUGAUCAUUGGGGCCUGAAGGGCACUGGCUGCAUCCACUGUCUACACUGCCCACAGAUCAGGACAGCCUGUGCAUACAGAGAGCCUGCUAGAGAGCCCUGGGUUUAAGGAGUAGCAAGCUCCAGGGAGAGCAAGUCAAGGGAUGCCAUAAAAUCUUAAUCCAUGGAAGCCUAGCAGGAGGCUGGACAUGUGCUGGGACUCCUGCUUCUCAUUAUUAGGAGGAGCUGUUGCUCUCUCCUUUCAUUCUCGGAACCAGAGGCAAAGACUCAGCCUCUUCUGCUCUUACUGGUGUGGAACUGCCAACCUGCCUCGUAUUAACUGCACCAUCUACAAAAUCUGAGCUCCAGCCGGUGCUGCUCUAGACUCAUCUUUA